GGCCCUCUGACGAAACUGGUAGACGUAGCGGACUCAAAAUCCGCCGCCUUCACGGGCAUCCCGGUUCGAGUCCGGGGAGGGCCA
rnacentral:tRNA from 1 species